GGAAGUGGUAGCUCAGUGGUUAAGACAUUGGACUACUGCUCAAAUGGUUGUGAGUUCAAAUCCCAGCACUGCCA